rnacentral:rRNA from 1 species
GACGAAAGUCUGAUGGAGCAACGCCGCGUGAGUGAUGAAGGUUUUCGGAUCGUAAAACUCUGUUGUAAGGGAAGAACCAGUACGUCAGGCAAUGGACGUACCUUGACGGUACCUCGAAAACAAGCCACGGCUAACUACGUGCCAGCAGCCGCGGUAAUACGUAGGUGGCAAGCGUUGUCCGGAUUUACUGGGUGUAAAGGGCGCGUAGGCGGGAUAGCAAGUCAGAUGUGAAAUGCCAGGGCUUAACCCUGGAGCUGCAUUUGAAACUGCUGUUCUUGAGUAUCGGAGAGGCAGGCGGAAUUCCUAGUGUAGCGGUGAAAUGCGUAGAUAUUAGGAGGAACACCAGUGGCGAAGGCGGCCUGCUGGACGACAACUGACGCUGAUGCGCGAAAGCGUGGGGAGCAAACA